rnacentral:lncRNA from 1 species
AUAGAGAAAGGUCUUUAUUAAAUUUUACAGAAAAUGAAUAUUGAACUUAUUUUAAUAAAAAAGAAAGAAGAACAUUUUACUAAUGUUCUCAUUAAUAAAAGUAGAGAGAGGGAAAAGAAACAAUAUCAAAGACUUAAUUUGGUGAAUAUUUUUAAGAAAUGGAAUAUCCACCUAGCACCUUAACUGCAGCCAAAGAACUGGCAUACAGCAAUGUUUUCUUUAGGUUGAAAACUUAAUAAUGAAGUAUGACUAACUAGGAACUUUUUUUCCAGCAACAAUUACCUUCACAAUAUCAAUGACUCUUGACUUCUCUUGUUUAGCAGUUCUAUAUUUUACCUGCUAAGUGUAUUUAGUAACUAGCUCUCAUUAACCAAGAAGUAUUUGUUGACGUUUAUGUGACUAGCCUUGGGCUAGGUUUUAGAAAGUGGAGCAAAAAUGGAAGACAUGAUCUUUUCCCGCAAGGCUCUUCUAAUAUUAUUGGGAAGCCUACUCUCUAGCAAUACAUUUGAAAAUGCAAUUACUGGUAAUAUGGAAAGGGACAAGAAUUGUUGCUAUAAGAAGACAGGGCUUCAAAGGGCUUUUUAGAAACUGGAGGAAAACAUAAUUCCAGCAAGCGGAGGCACUGCUUCUAGCCUCUAUCUUAGGGAGCUCUGCACUGUGAAAUGCCUCCCACUAAAUUUUUAGGGCUAGGACCUACAGGAUCCAAGACUGCCAUCCAGGUCAGGCACUCUGAGAUCAGAGCACAGUAUUUCUUUCAUGGGAUCACAUGAGAUUGAGCUUCCUCAAUAGUCCUAACAUGUUGAUUUUGAAUAAAUCUCACUGAACACAGGACAAAUUUAGGGCCCUAGGCUAUUGAUAGUCUACCUCUAACCCUUGGGUUUGAAACCUGUAUAUCAGACAUAGUGUCAUUUGUCAGCUCUUCAUGUCUAGGUCAUAUGGCUUCUGUGAUCUAUAGCAGCAGAUGUGGCAGAAACAGUAGCAGACAAAGACUUUGCUUUGUGCCCUCCUCUGCACCCAGAGAUUGUAACCCAGGAUGGUUACAUUAUUCCUCGUACAGGCUUUGCACUGAAUGCCAGGUAGAUCUCUGGGAGUGGCUGUGACUAUCUUCUCUGAGGGCUUUCUAGAAUGUUGCUCCUUGAUGCCCAUCAGCCCUUAUGAUCAAAAUUCUUUUUUGCCAAUGAUUGAUGUGGUAACCUACUCCCCUGGGUUAGUCUUAAGCUUUGCUGGAAAUGGAUGGAUAUUCCCUAUGUCCACAGGACCAUUCUUCUUGCACAGCUCAUAGCACCCUCACUAAGUCUCCUCACUGGUGGCUGUAUAUGGAAGACAGGGGUGUGGUCAACACUAAAAGGUAUUACAUUCUAGGAAUGCAAUGAUUUUAACUAAAGAUUUUGAGGGAAGAUAUAUUUGGAAGAUGUGCUAUUCUAUGUUUUAAGUUAUAAAAUUCUUUAAAUAACAGAAAAUGAAUAACAACUCACACUUUCCUACAUGUUCUGAGUAGGAUUUUCACUUAUAUGUGGUCCUCAUCAUGAAGGCUAAUAAUAAGGAUAAGGAUGUAGUUAGAUAUAAUGAAACAGUUAUAACCUUUGAUAACACAAUGAAACGGUUGGGUGAUGGAGCAUCAUGAGUAACAAUGUAGCUAAACAGGUGGCAUUAAGGAACUGUAGUAGCAAGAAGAUCUAUAUUUGUUUCAAUACAAAUCCAUUAUGAAGAGCUACGGAUUUAUGAAUAAAAAUGGUAUUACUGCCUUUUCCAUGUAUUGUGAGGUAUGACAUUACUUAGGAAAUAACACAUUGACAAUAAAUAACAUGAAGGGAUUGUUCCUGAAUCUGAACAGGAAGGUAUUGCCUGGUUACUAAGAAUCUUCAUAUGCAUUUAUUGGACACUAGACAAAUAUGCAACUACUUUAUUACCCAUUAUUCUAAGUCUUCAUUUCUACCUCGUUUGGGCCCUGAAUUUUGUAUUAUAUUUAAAUAUAGUUAAUCAAUUAGACAUAAUUCAGACACUCACAAUAGUCAUUGAUCACCCACUGGGUGCUCCAUGCUAAAUAUUUAGACAUACUUUAAAAAUGUUCAAAUGAAUGGAGUACAUACAUGCAUUGAUCUUAUUCCUGUGCCACCAUCCACUAUAGAAAGUGCAAACCUUUUUAAGUAACUGUCGCGAUUACUACCUUAAUAUUUAUUUAACUACAAAUGUUAGAUUUAAAUUUUUAUAUGUCCUAAAUACUUUAACAAUAUCCUUUUCUCCAAAUUAUUUAGACACAAUUACAACCUCCCACCACAAGGAAAAGCCAUAAUCUAGAAUAUUGUUACCUAAGAAAUUCGAACUAUGUAUUUUCUGCAUGUUUUAUGAUCCUGGUUUAGUAGUCAAUGAACACUAUGAUAAUGCCAAGAAACUAAAAAAAUUAGUAAUAACUCUAAAGUUAAAAUCAAUUUCUUGGAGAAAUCAUUUUUCAGUUAAAUUUUUAAAAGUUUCCUUGCCUUCUUUUGCUUUCUUUUUUUCUAACUUUUCUGUUUUGAAAAAAGAAAAGAACUCGUAAUGAUUUCAAGUGGGGUAAAUUUCACAUCUUAAUGAUAAAUUCAACAAUUUAAAGUAAAAUCAUGUAUAAAGUAAAUGAUUUAGUCUAAUGUUCCCUCCAUUAUAAUGAAAAUAAUUUUUUGUAGGCACCCAGAUGCCCCACUAAUUAUUUAUAAUGUUUAAGGGAUUGUUUUAUACAUUUUAAUUUUGGUGUUUUAGGUCACACAAAGAUGGAUAGACUCUUAUAAAAUGACCAAGAAAAGUUCUCUGAUCAUACUUGAUGUUGUAGUCAUCAAAGAGUGUUUGCUUUCAAAAGAAUUAUUAUACUUCCAGCUUGCUUGCCUUGGGGAAUGUCAAUUAAAUCCAAAUUAUUUUAUGACAGAGAUUUUGCCAUUUUUAGACAUGGUAAGUGAACUAGAAAUGACUAAAAUCAAAUGAGAAAUGAAAAAAUAAAGUUUGAUAUUUACCUGUAAAUUGCUUAUCUUUCAAUUAAGCAUUGGUUUCCCCUUGCCAAAAGUCCCCAUUUGCAGAGGC